rnacentral:lncRNA from 1 species
UUCCAACACAGAAUUACAUGCUCAUCUGGUUGAACGAUGGAGGAAGACAUUUAUUAUAAUUGAUGCAACCAGAAGAUAUUUUUUCCUCCAAGUCUCAUUAACCAGUGGUUCUCAAUGCUGUCAGGAUCACCUGCAUAAGAUUGUUAAAACUCAGGGUGCUGGGCCCCACCACCAGACUUUGAUUCAGUGGGUUCGAGAUGGUAUAUUUCUGACAAAUUCCCAGGUGCUGCCGAUGCUGCAGGUUCAAGCACCAGAUUUUGAGACCCACUGAAAUAAGCUAUUACUUGUGUGGAAAUGUCCGAGCCAGUUAUCAGGAGCUGAACUGCAGAUGACCCAAGUUCUGAUUGUGUGGCUAAAUCAUCCCACUGUUACUCCUAAGAGAAAUAUUUUUCCCUGAUAUAAGAAUGUGGGUGAGUAAUAAGAUGUCAAGACUUCCAGUCUUUUUUUUUUUUCUACAGACAGUACAUAGAGAAUUGUAUGGCUGUUUAUGAGCCGGGUUGAUUCUGUUGUCUUUUCUUUUUCAUCACAGAUGAUCAUAGAAAUAUCUUGCUGUAAAAGCACCUCACAGUUUCUUCUGAAAUGAAACCACACUUCCUUUCUAUUCUUUUCAGCUCAGUUCUGCUGUUCAUGCCGGGGCUGGGGAGAUUUUCCAUCACAGGCUUCUUAAAAUUUAUGAUCUUUCUAGGGUAUGAGCUUUCAGUUCC